rnacentral:rRNA from 1 species
GCAGUCGACGAGAAGGGGAGCAAUCCCUGAGUAAAGUGGCGUACUGGUGAGUAACACGUGGAUAAUCUACCUCCUGGUGGGGAAUAACCUGGGGAAACCUGGGCUAAUACCGCAUAAGUUCGAGAGAAGAAAGGCGCAAGUCGCCGGGAGAGGAGUCCGCGGUCGAUUAGGUAGUUGGCGGGGUAAGAGCCCACCAAGCCAAAGAUCGAUAGCCGGCCUGAGAGGGCACACGGCCACACUGGCACUGAAACACGGGCCAGACUCCUACGGGAGGCAGCAGUGGGGAAUCUUGCACAAUGGGGGAAACCCUGAUGCAGCGACGCCGCGUGAGCGAUGAAGCCCUUCGGGGUGUAAAGCUCUUUCGGCAGGAACGAUAAUGACGGUACCUGCAGAAGAAGCUGCGGCUAACUACGUGCCAGCAGCCGCGGUAAUACGUAGGCAGCAAGCGUUGUUCGGAAUUACUGGGCGUAAAGAGUGUGUAGGUGGUGUCGUAAGUUUGGUGUGAAAUCUCCCGGCUUAACUGGGAGGGUGCGCCGAAGACUGCGAUGCUGGAGUAUGGGAGAGGAAAGCGGAAUUCCUGGUGUAGCGGUGAAAUGCGUAGAUAUCAGGAGGAACACCUGCGGUGUAGACGGCUUUCUGGACCAUUACUGACACUGAGACACGAAAGCGUGGGUAGCAAACAGGAUUAGAU